CGCUGACGAGUGGCGGACGGGUGAGUAACGCGUAGGAAUCUGCCUUAUAGUGGGGGACAACGUGGGGAAACCCACGCUAAUACCGCAUACGCCCUACGGGGGAAAGCGGGGGACCUUCGGGCCUCGCACCAUAAGAUGAGCCUAUGUCAGAUUAGCUAGUUGGUAGGGUAAAGGCCUACCAAGGCGACGAUCUUUAGCUGGUCUGAGAGGAUGAUCAGCCACACUGGGACUGAGACACGGCCCAGACUCC
rnacentral:rRNA from 1 species